GAGUUUGAUCCUGGCUCAGAUUGAACGCUGGCGGCAUGCCUUACACAUGCAAGUCGAACGGUAACAGGUCUUCGGAUGCUGACGAGUGGCGAACGGGUGAGUAAUACAUCGGAACGUGCCCGAUCGUGGGGGGAUAACGAAGCGAAAGCUUUGCUAAUACCGCAUACGAUCUACGGAUGAAAGCAGGGGACCGCAAGGCCUUGCGCGAACGGAGCGGCCGAUGGCAGAUUAGGUAGUUGGUGGGAUAAAAGCUUACCAAGCCGACGAUCUGUAGCUGGUCUGAGAGGACGACCAGCCACACUGGGACUGAGACACGGCCCAGACUCCUACGGGAGGCAGCAGUGGGGAAUUUUGGACAAUGGGCGAAAGCCUGAUCCAGCCAUGCCGCGUGCAGGAUGAAGGCCUUCGGUU
rnacentral:rRNA from 1 species